CCCUUAGAUGUUCUGGGCCGCACGCGCGCUACACUGAUGCAUUCAACAAGCCUAGCCUUGACCGAGAGGUCCGGGUAAUCUUUGAAACUGCAUCGUGAUGGGGCUAGAUUAUUGCAAUUAUUAAUCUUCAACGUGGAAUGCCUAGUAAGCGUGAUUCAUCAAAUCGCGUUGAUUACGUCCCUGCCCUUUGUACACACCGCCCGUCGCUCCUACCGAUUGAAUGUGUUGGUGAGGAGCUCGGAUUGGCAGCAGUUGGUGGUUCGCCACCGGCUAUUGCUGAGAAGUCCUCCAAACCGCCCCAUUUAGAGGAAGGAGAAGUCGUANCA
rnacentral:rRNA from 1 species